UACGUAGGGUGCGAGCGUUGUCCGGAAUUAUUGGGCGUAAAGGGCUCGUAGGCGGUUCGUCACGUCGGGAGUGAAAACUCGGAGCUUAACUCCGAGCCUGCUUCCGAUACGGGCAGACUAGAGGUAGGCAGGGGAGAGCGGAACUCCUGGUGUAGCGGUGGAAUGCGCAGAUAUCAGGAAGAACACCCGUGGCGAAGGCGGCUCUCUGGGACGGUACUGACGCUGAGGUGCGAAAGCGUGGGGGAGCGAACAGG
rnacentral:rRNA from 1 species